GUGCCAGCAGCCGCGGUAAUACGGAGGAUGCAAGCGUUGUUCGGAAUCACUGGGCUUAAAGAGCGUGUAGGUGGAAUAUCAGGCGUCGGGUGAAAUCCCUCGGCUCAACCGAGGAACUGCCUGGCGAACCGGUAUUCUUGAGGCAGGUAGAGGUGGCUGGAACGACUGGUGGAGCGGUGAAAUGCGUAGAUAUCAGUUGGAACGCCGGCGGCGAAAGCGAGCCACUGGGCCUGUCCUGACACUGAGACGCGAAAGCGUGGGGAGCAAACAGGAUUAGAAACCCGUGUAGUCC
rnacentral:rRNA from 1 species